rnacentral:rRNA from 1 species
GUCGAGAAUCUUUCACAAUGGGGGCAACCCUGAUGGAGCGACGCCGCGUGGAGGAUAAGGUCUUCGGAUUGUAAACUCCUGUCAUGCGUGAACAAGGUUGCUUGGUUAAUACCUGGGCAAAUUGAUGGUAACGCAAGAGGAAGAGACGGCUAACUCUGUGCCAGCAGCCGCGGUAAUACAGAGGUCUCAAGCGUUGUUCGGAAUCACUGGGCGUAAAGGGUGCGUAGGUGGCGUGGUAAGUCAGAUGUGAAAGCCCGGGGCUCAACCUCGGAACUGCAUCCUAUACUGCCAUGCUAGAGUACUGGAGAGGUGACUAGAAUUCUCGGUGUAGCAGUGAAAUGCGUAGAUAUCGAGAGGAAUACCAAAGGCGUAGGCAGGUCACUGGACAGUUACUGACACUGAGGCACGAAGGCCAGGGGAGCGAACGGGAUUAGAAACCCUUGUAGUCC